UACGUAGGGUGCAAGCGUUGUCCGGAAUUAUUGGGCGUAAAGAGCUCGUAGGUGGUUUGUCGCGUUGUUCGUGAAAACUCACAGCUCAACUGUGGGCGUGCGGCGAUACGGGCAGACUGGAGUACUGCAGGGGAGACUGGAAUUCCUGGUGUAGCGGUGAAAUGCGCAGAUAUCAGGAGGAACACCGGUGGCGAAGGCGGGUCUCUGGGCCGAUACUGACGCUGAGGAGCGAAAGCGUGGGGAGCAAACAGG
rnacentral:rRNA from 1 species